rnacentral:rRNA from 1 species
GUGGGGAAUAUUGGGCAAUGGGCGAAAGCCUGACCCAGCAACGCCGCGUGAAGGAAGAAGGCCCUCGGGUUGUAAACUUCUUUUAAGAGGGACGAAAGAAAUGACGGUACCUCUUGAAUAAGCCACGGCUAACUACGUGCCAGCAGCCGCGGUAAUACGUAGGUGGCGAGCGUUAUCCGGAUUUACUGGGUGUAAAGGGCGUGUAGGCGGGAGUGCAAGUCAGAUGUGAAAAUUAUGGGCUCAACCCAUAACCUGCAUUUGAAACUGUUCUUCUUGAGUGAUGGAGAGGCAGGCGGAAUUCCGUGUGUAGCGGUGAAAUGCGUAGAUAUACGGAGGAACACCAGUGGCGAAGGCGGCCUGCUGGACAUUAACUGACGCUGAGGCGCGAAAGCGUGGGGAGCAAACAGGAUUAGAAACCCCAGUAGUCC